rnacentral:rRNA from 1 species
AGCAGCCGCGGUAAUUCCAGCUCCAAUAGCGUAUAUUAAAGUUGUUGCAGUUAAAAAGCUCGUAGUUGAAUUUCGGGGUUAGUAGGCUGGUCGUGCCACAGGUAUGCACUGGUCUUACUGAUUCCUCCUUCCUGAUGAACCGUAAUGCCAUUAAUUUGGUGUUGCGGGGAGUCUGGACUGUUACUUUGAAAAAAUUAGAGUGUUUAAAGCAGGCUAACGCUUGAAUACAUUAGCAUGGAAUAACGAAAGAGGACGUUCGAUCCUAUUUUGUUGGUUUCUAGGAUUGACGUAAUGAUUAAUAGGGAUAGUUGGGGGCAUUAGUAUUCAAUUGUCAGAGGUGAAAUUCUUGGAUUUAUUGAAGACUAACUACUGCGAAAGCAUUUGCCAAGGAUGUUUUCAUUAAUCAAAACGAAAGUUAGGGGAUCGAAGACGAUCAGAUACCGUCGUAGU